GUCAAGCAAGUAUUUCAAUUUUGAACUUCAAGCUUCAAAUUCCGAAUGACAAAUUGCGAUAAAUUAAAUUCGGGAAAAGAGUGACAAAUAAAAUGAAAUCUUGCAAAUUGAAGGGAAGAGAUAGAUUGAUAAUUUGAGAAUUGAGAUUGAGAUAAGAAUUUUGAGUGAAGAAAUGAACAAGAGAUGAGGAUAUUUAUAGAUUAUAAGAAGGGUUAAUAUUGCAAGUUAAUAAAUACAAAAAAAUAAUGAAAAAAUAGCUAUUUUUGCAAAAUUGUCUGUUGGCCAACGGAUCUGUACCGUUGCCAACGGUAAUGUGGGCCCAACAUAUUCAAAAAUAAAAAAAAAUGUUACCGUUGAACCGGGCCGGUCCGGGCCGGUCCUACCGGUUCACCGUACUGUAGACAUAUACCGGGCCGGCCCGGUCCGGUUCCGACACCAAAAAAUCCUAACGGACCAACCCCCUACCCCCUUGAACCGAGCCCAGUCCGGCCCCUGCUAACCGGUCCGGUCCGGUCCCGGAUUUUACCGGUCGGAUCCGGGCCGGUUCCGGUUCAACCCGGCCCGAUUGACACGCUUGAUCAACACUAACAAACAAAACAAAACAAUAACAAAAUAACUCAUGGAAAAUCAGAUGUCAGGAAUCUAACAACCAUAUUUAAACUCACAAAUGCAAUUUUAUAACCAAACAAAUACAUGUAAAACAAGAUUAGCAUGACCCAUUAAAUUCAAGAAAUUAAAAUGCGAAAAGAGGACCUCUGAAAGCGAGUCCGAACCUGACUGUGUUGAAGCUCCCAAAGAAUAAGGGCUUGACCAAGACCACUAUUGGAAUUCGACAAGCAAUGGACUGACCGAACCUCGCCGGAGAAAAUGGGCUGACAGAAAACUUAUGGGUCGAGAUUCAUUUUUAAGGACAAAGAUUAAUGGAUUUCAAUUUUUAUUCUGUUCCUUGCUCGUUUUCACAUUUCCGUUUUGUUUUCUAAUACCCCCAUGUGUGUGUGUGUACUUUUAUUACUGUUCUCAGGCAACGGGAGGGGCUGAUGGAUGGUCGUUCAGCGGCAGCGGCACUGGUGCUCGUUUUCCGACGAGCGGAGUGGUGAGGGUGGCGUGAAGGAGGGGCUGGUGCGGUAGAUUUUCUUGGUUGACAGAGGUUGGGCAGUGAGAAAAGAAGCAACGGCUGUAUGUUUUGGUUCUAGGAGAUGAACAAGGAUUGUUGUUUGCUGUGUGUGACGGCUGGAGAUGGUGGUGGGCAAUGGGUUCACGACAGUUGAGGCAGCGGUGGUUUUCUGGUGUUCUUUGGAGAGUGGAGAUGGAGGAGUCAUUGUGGUCUUUGAAGUCUGAUGGAACGACUCUCCUAGGUUUUUCAAUGUCCAGGUCUUUUUUGUCUUCCCGUGAAUAAGAUGAAGUAUAGGGUUCCUAGGGUUUUUUAGUGUGUAUUAAGGUUAAGGGUUGGAAAGAUUAGGCUUGUUAAAAU
rnacentral:lncRNA from 1 species